UUUUUUAAGUAGGCUCGAUGCUCAGCUCACGACCCUGAGAUCAAGACCUGAGCUGAGAUCAAGAGUCAGACGCUUAACCGGCUGAGCUACCUGGGUGCCCCUGGAAAUAGCAUUAUUGGAUGGCAGUUGAGAGAAUGGAUGCUGGUGACUCCUUCCAGGAGAUGGCAGAAUCUCAUUAAACCCUCUCCAAUCGCUAGGGGGAAAAAAGGCAAGCAAGCCCUUGAGGAAAAAAAGGACACGAAUAGCCACAUUCAAGCGGACUGCAGAGGGCAAUAGGCUCCACGCCCAGCGCAUAGCCCAAUGCGGGGCUCGAACUCAACGACCCUGAGAUCAAAACCGGAGCUGAGAUCAAGAGUUGGCCGCCUAACUGACUAAGCCACCCAGGUGCCCCCUUCACGACAGUCUAUGGCAGAUACUAUUAUCCUAGUUUUAAAGACCAGGAAACUGGAGCUCAGAGAGGUUACGUAGCUUUCCUGAUGCUGUACCAUCACUCAGGGUCCAGCUGCUGGACGUUUGUACCUGAGCCCUGUCUACCUCCUCGUGCUGCUUCUGCUUUCCCGAUAUUGGCCCCAAUUUUUCAUCUCUUUCUUCCUCUUCUGAACCUUCUCCAUUUGCCCCCUAUUCUGGACACAGCUCUCUGAGGACGAUUAGAUUAAAGAGAGCACGGUCUCAGUGAGCCUAGGACCUCGGUCUGCUGGGGAGAGUCUCAGUUGCA